CUACGGGGGGCUGCAGGCGCGGAACCUCCUCAAUGUACGACAGUGUGAAGGGGGAAUCCUACGUGCUUAUGCUUAGCAUAGGCUUUUGCAUAGAGUAAAUAUCUAUGCGAAUAAAGGGUGGGCAAGACCGGCGCCAGCAGCCGCGGUAACACCGGCGCCCUGAGUGGCAAUCAGAAUUAUUGGGCCUAAAGCGUUCGUAGCCCGACUAAUAAAUUUCUUGUGAAAUUAUUUGGCUUAACCAAGUAGCGUGCAGGAAAGACUGUUAGUCUAGGGACCGGGAGGAGUUAGAAGUAUGCUAGGGGGAGCGGUAAAAUGUGAUAAUCCCUGGUAGACUACCUGUGGCGAAGGCGUCUAACUAGAACGGAUCCGACGGUGAGGAACGAAGGCUAGGGGAGCAAACCGGAUUAGAUACCCCAGUAGUC
rnacentral:rRNA from 1 species